CGUGCUUAACACAUGCAAGUCGAACGGUGAACCAGGGCUUGCCCUGGGGAUCAGUGGCGAACGGGUGAGUAACGCGUGAGAAUCUGCCCUCAGGAGGGGGAUAACGGCUGGAAACGGCCGCUAAUACCCCAUAUGCCGCGAGGUGAAACGAAUUUCGCCUGAGGAUGAGCUCGCGUCUGAUUAGCUAGUUGGUGGGGUAAGAGCCUACCAAGGCAUCGAUCAGUAGCUGGUCUGAGAGGAUGAUCAGCCACACUGGGACUGAGACACGGCCCAGACUCCUACGGGAGGCAGCAGUGGGGAAUUUUCCGCAAUGGGCGCAAGCCUGACGGAGCAACGCCGCGUGAGGGAUGAAGGCCUCUGGGCUGUAAACCUCUUUUAUCAAGGAAGAAGAUCUGACGGUACUUGAUGAAUAAGCCACGGCUAAUUCCGUGCCAGCCGCCGCUGUAAGAC
rnacentral:rRNA from 1 species